UCAAUUCUUACCUAAGACUUCUUCAUGGAGCAACUGUGGAGGCUGGGGAACAGAGCCCAAGGUUUGGCUUGGGAAGUGAUUCAAGGACAAAGGCCUCUGUGCCAUCUGAGAAAAUACUGGGAACCAGUCACUGUUGCGUGACGUUCACAGUUCACAUCUGGUGUUAGGAAAUCUACACUUCAAGCCAAGGAUGGCAUCCUGGCUGGACACGAAGGUGUCAUUGACAGGUUGCUGCGUGAAAGUGCGGCCAUCCAGCCAGCAGCUGACAGCACACACUGAAGGACCAGCGGACACUUAAUUCAAUUAUUUUGUCCUAGAGGAGACCCUGUAAGGGGUCAGCUACGGGGUCAUCUCAGGUCAGGCAAAGGGAGCCCUUCAUAGAAAACCACAACUGGACACACGCAGAGAUCAACAGCUCCCGGGGAGCCCACCCCACUGGACACACCUACGUCACAGCUCCUGCAUCCGCUCCGUCACAGAAGAGGGGCCAGAAAGGUUGUCAGAAUACCAGAAA